rnacentral:lncRNA from 1 species
GGGCACAGUUGAUGUUCUACUUCAGUUGUGUCAAUCUCCAACAAAUUUGCUAUUAAGCAAAAUACUGCACUGUACUGUGGUAAAUAUUCAAACAUUUUAAUUUGAAUGUUUCUUUAACACACACACACACACACACACGCACGUAAUGUUUUCAAUACAACAAACUAAUGAUAAAUAUGAAUGGUAAAUGUUUAGCACUUUGAGCUUGCUUUUAGAAAUGGAAAGUGCUCUAUGAAUGAAAUUUAUAAUUAUUAUAAUUAUAAUUAUUAUUAUUCAAAAAGAUAAUCUACUGGUUACACACCCGGUCGUGUGUAGUUCCCUCGGUGCGCGCUAGGUGUCGCCGGAACGCCAGCCUGCAGCGCAGCAGCAGUGAACGGAACAGGUUGCGUUCGUUAACCUCGUGUACUGUGACUGUUCCUCCGCAGACCGGAGCUCGUGGUUCACCUGGAGAGGGACAAUGAAAUGACAUUUAGCCGGUGACCGGAGGUGGGAGCGGGCUACCUUUCUCAGAGGGCCGGUGGACGGGGGGGACAGAAGAAGAAGAAGAAGAAGAGGAGGAGGAGGAGGAAGAAGAAGAGGAGGAAGAGGAAGAGGGAGUGAGCUUCGUGGGAGGGCGGGACACCUGUGACGGCAAGCGUCUCAAGUCCAGUGCGAUUAUCUCGAGCUCAGGGAAACGUACGUGUUCUUAUCUUGGAGGAAUUGGAUUCAGGUUUCUUCAAACCUCCCCUACAGCACAGUGAAAGAGAGGGCCUGUCUUGACCACGUGGGUGUGUUUGUGCAGGGGUGUAUGUGAGUGGCAGGGGGGAAAUAUGUUUGUCUGAGUGCCUUUGC